UGUCAAAGAUGAUUUGCAAAUUUUUCAUACUAGAAGCAAGGAGAUUGAAAAUUAUUCACAGGAAAAACAGUUUGUUUUAAGGCAAUCAAAAUCAACAUUCAAUUAAAUAAAAAAGAGAGUUAAGGAAUUUACGUGCUUUUCCAUGCAUUGUAAGAUUUCCAGAAUAUAGAACAUGUAGUUUCUGAUAAAAAAAACACCAAAAGAUUGCUAAGAUAAAACUGUUGAGUAACUAUUUGUAAUACAGAAUGCAUCAAUAUGGUGGUAUGCUACAUAUAUAAUAUUGAUACUAUGACAGAUGAGAAAAGAAACUGAAGACAUAACCAAAUGCUGAAGUCAGCAAAGAUUAAGAUAUAAAGAGCAGAUAUUUUCCUGAAGAUCUCAUUUAUGUCUCGAAUUUGAAGGGAACAGAAGCUAUCAUGACGAUUCUUUAAAGAAAAGAUACGGAAACACAAGC